AAAAAAAAAAGCCAUAGAGAGAAGACCAGUCCCCUGUUUUUAUAGUUCUAAUUUUAGACAGAACGUGAUAAACAAAAUGAUAAUUAUGUUAGAAUAGGCAGUAUUUUGAAAACACUAGAUGAAGUUACAGAGAUGGGGCAUAUGCUUAAAUUCACACACUUAAUCGGACUAUUAUGAUUAGAUGUUACAUGCAGCAUUACUUUGGCUCCAAAGGAAAGGGAAAUGUCUAGCUGCAUGCAAUCUUAUUUCGAGUUUAAAGAAUGCAGCAUUUCUUUGUGAUCUACAAAUAUUAUGUUUCUAAUCCCACAUCUUUCAGUUAACAUGGGAAAUUGUGGAAUAUAAAUAAGGUGAACAAGUAAUGCAGAUCAUGCCACAAGAGACACGUGUGGAUCAAAUUCAUUAACCCAGCCCAGGAAAAUCCUCGGGCCUUCUCUGCAGAGAUGCAGCGUUGUACAAAGGAAAUUCUCUCACUUGUGUAUUUAUCAGUGAAGCUGCAGCAUCAGGCUGCUGAUCAUAAAUGGUACAAGACUUCCUCUGGACGAAAUGUUGCCAAGGAAUGACGCUCUGGGAGGCUAGAUUUUUGUUUGCAACAACGAAAUAAUGCAAGAAGAUCUUUGCCGCCAACUCUUUGGACUUCCACAGGAUUCUAUAAGGGCAAUAACUCCUGGAUUGCCUCUUUUUCUCUAUAGCUAUACUGCUCACUAGCUUAACGAAGUUUUUCAGGCUGUAAGUUUUGGAGGGUCAAACAUUGAGCCAUCUGCAUGGGAAGAUAAAAAGUGCAGAGGAGAAUCAAAGAUUUCCAGCCCAGGCACUCAUGUUAUUGGACUUGUUCAAAGAGGAGGAAAUGUAAAGGAAGAAAAGACGAUUAUAUACUUGAGUUAACAUUAGCUAUAAAAAUGUCAAAGUACUAGGAACAUAAAAUUACUUUAACUUAGAAGAUUAUAUGGAACUUGAAGAUCAUGUAUACUACUACAAAUUAAAUAAAAAUUCAUGUAGAAAAUUACUACAAAAUAUUAUUGUUUGGAAAUUGUGAUACAGUA